rnacentral:lncRNA from 1 species
UGAAUAAUAACUCAAUAAUAACGUUAUUUUGCCUAUCAAUGAGUCAAUUACAUGACUCUAGAAUUUAGAAAAUCCAUUUAUGUGUGCUUAUAUUUUUUUGUCUUUCUCCGAUGAUUAUUUUCAGAGAAUACAACAACCAUAUGAUAAUGUUUUCUCUGAUGAUUAAUUUUAGAGAAUACAACAAUAAUAUAAUAAUGUUUUUGCGUCAUAACAGUAGAAAGUCGUUGAUGAGUGAUAAAUGAGCUACUACUCCGAUCUCCGAUCUGAUUCAUAAAAAAAAGAGAUAAUUUUCAUGUUUAUUAAAAAUAAUAGUUAAGUGUAUUUUUUUAUGUAAAAAAAAUAACUCAAUUACUAAUAGACCCUUAAUGCAUGAAUAGUUUUGAAAUAAAAGCAUUAAAUGAG